rnacentral:tRNA from 1 species
CGGGGUGUAGCCCAGCGGUAGGGCGCCUGCUUUGGGAGCAGGAGAUCGGGAGUUCGAGUCUCCCCACCCCGACCA